UGCUAAAGAGCCAUUUUUCACCAUGUUAUGUAUAACACACACUUAUAGAAAGUGUUACGAUAAUGUUAUAAAUAGAUAGAAUAAUAUUUAGUUAAAUAUAUUUUUAUAUAAUAAUUUUAAAUACUCAUAAAAUAAAAUUUAUUAAUUAUCAAAAAAUAUUUAUAUAUGUGCUACUUAUUUUCACAAAUAAUAAAAAUAACAAGUUUAUUAUUAUAUCUAACUACAAAAUAUUAGUAAAUAAAAUUUACCAUUAGUACAUAUAUUAUCGAAUAAUCAUAAUGACAUAAAUAAUAAUUUAAUUAUAAUUAAAUUAUAUAUUAAAUAACUUAGAUAUUAAUGAAUAACUAAUAAAAUAUAUAUUUUGCUUAUAAAUUAUAAAUAUAUAAUUAUAAGUAAUUAGCAUUAUAUUAAUUUUCUGUUCCACUAACGACAUAAAAAUAAAUAACAAUAUCAAUAAUAAAUAUUU